UAAUACGAUUUCAAAGUGUUUAGUCGUUAACUAGGCUACUAUGGCUAACAUUAUAAUUUUGUUUAAUUGCUUCUAAUACACUAUAUCUGUGACUAUAUCAGUGAUACACAAAUUAAGACCCGCGAGCCGCAGGUUAUAUCUGGCUAGUAUAUAAAUAAACUAAUAAUAAAAGCUGUAUAAUGUUAAGUAGCAACCUGCGAGUCGAACACAAUCUCUCUACGUAAACUCGUUAAAUCAAUUCUUAAAAGACGCAUGUUUAGCAAAUUUGUUUAUAGAUCACCAAAACAUAAAGCGUGUUUACAUGUCCUGUUAAUGUGAUCAAUCAACACAGUCUGUGGAGACUGGACUGUUCAGUGAAAGAGUGCUUUCUUCAGCUUCUUGGUACACUGCCUGACGGUACAUUAAUUGAAAUGACGAGGAAACUAGUUCUAUUUGUUUGUUUUGUGAUACUUUCUACAACUGCGAUGGUGACUUCCGGUACACCUCUACAAGUUAGCUCCGUUUGUUCUAGGUACACCUCUACAAGUUAGCUCCGUUUGUUCUAGGUACAUCUCUACAAGUUAGCUCCGUUUGUUCUAGGUACACCUCUACAAGUUAGCUCCGUUUGUUCUAGGUACAC